rnacentral:rRNA from 1 species
UGGGGAAUAUUGCACAAUGGGCGGAAGCCUGAUGCAGCGACGCCGCGUGGGGGAUGAAGGCCUUCGGGUUGUAAACUCCUUUCGACAGGGACGAAGCUUUUGUGACGGUACCUGUAUAAGAAGCACCGGCUAACUACGUGCCAGCAGCCGCGGUAAUACGUAGGGUGCGAGCGUUGUCCGGAAUUACUGGGCGUAAAGAGCUCGUAGGUGGUUUGUCGCGUCGUCUGUGAAAUUCCGGGGCUUAACUCCGGGCGUGCAGGCGAUACGGGCUGACUUGAGUGCUGUAGGGGAGACUGGAAUUCCUGGUGUAGCGGUGAAAUGCGCAGAUAUCAGGAGGAACACCGAUGGCGAAGGCAGGGCUCUGGGCAGUAACUGACGCUGAGGAGCGAAAGCAUGGGUAGCGAACAGG